rnacentral:lncRNA from 1 species
GAGGAUUUGGGCUUUCUUUAUUUGCAGAUGAUGGGGCCAUUUGGAAAAGAGGGCGUAAUGUAGGGUUUGUUUUAAAGCAGAUUCAAAGAAUGUUAGUGUUGGUGGAGGAAUGGGGGAAUACAUGGGGAUUUAAAAUUUCGCAAUCUAAGACAAAAUAUAUGAUAUUAGGUUUUAAAAGAAAGUUACCUAAUAUAGGGCUGUAUUUGUAUGGGUCUCCAUUGGAGAAGGUAAAGGCUUUUAAAUUUUUGGGUGUUUGGUUUGAAGAACGUAUGACUUGGGCUGUACAUGUAGGUAAGAUUGUGGAGAGGUGUGAAAAAGUUUUGAAUGUUAUGAGAAGUCUAGCUGGAUGUGAAUGGGGGGCCAAUAGGGAGACGUUAUUAUUAAUUUAUCAGGCCAUGAUCAGGUCCAUUAUUGAUUAUGGGUCCUUUGUAUAUGGGUCUGCUUCUAAAACUGUUUUGGAUAGGUUGGAUGUAGUGCAAACAAGGGCUUUGAGGAUUUGUUGUGGGGCCUUCAGAACUUCCCCAGUUUCAGCCUUGCUUAUUGAAAUGGGAGAAAUGCCCUUAUGGUUAAGGCGUAUUAAAUUAGGACUACAGUACUGGGUAAAACUUAGAGGAUGUAAUUAUACAUAUCCAGCAAGGUGUUUGUUGCAAGAGUUUGUUGGAAGUAGGAAAUAUUAUAAUUUUUUUGUUAAUGUAAAUCAGUGGGCUAGGAAGAUGGAAUUGGAACAGGGAGGUAUUGCAGAGCACAUAGGAUGGUUACCUAUGCCAUAUUGGGUGAUGCCUGAGUUGAAAGUUGAGUUUGCUUUUCUUCAGGAAAAAGAUAAGAUGGAGGUGAUACCAAGAAUAGUGGUAUAUCUUAAUUCAGUUAAUCAGAGUAGUAUAAUAAUUUUUACAGAUGGGUCUAGAGAUCCAGUUAAUGGGAGAGCUGGGUUUGGGAUGUAUGUGGAGAAACUAGGGUUGAAAGUUGGUCGACGUAUUUCGAAUGGAAGCUCUGUUCUUACUGCUGAGUUAAUGGCAAUUUUAUG